AUCUUAUAUGGGAAUGCCCGGUUGACGCAUUCGCGGGCCGCGGUGUGUGUCUCUUCAUUCCC
rnacentral:lncRNA from 1 species